rnacentral:rRNA from 1 species
UGGGGAAUAUUGCGCAAUGGGCGGAAGCCUGACGCAGCAACGCCGCGUGCGGGAUGACGGCCUUCGGGUUGUAAACCGCUUUCAGCAGGGACGAAGCGUGAGUGACGGUACCUGCAGAAGAAGCACCGGCCAACUACGUGCCAGCAGCCGCGGUGAUACGUAGGGUGCGAGCGUUGUCCGGAAUUAUUGGGCGUAAAGAGCUCGUAGGUGGUUGAUCGCGUCGAAAGUGAAAUCUCAGGGCUUAACCCUGAGCGUGCUUUCGAUACGGGUCGGACUAGAGGAAGGUAGGGGAGAAUGGGAAUUCCUGGUAGGAGCGGUGGAAUGCGCAGAUAUCAGGAGGAACACCAGUGGCGAAGGCGGUUCUCUGGACCUUUCCUGAC